rnacentral:rRNA from 1 species
CGUCGCCGCGGUAAUACGAAGGGGGCUAGCGUUGUUCGGAAUUACUGGGCGUAAAGCGCACGUAGGCGGACAUUUAAGUCAGGGGUGAAAUCCCGGGGCUCAACCCCGGAACUGCCUUUGAUACUGGGUGUCUAGAGUAUGGAAGAGGUGAGUGGAAUUCCGAGUGUGGAGGUGAAAUUCGUAGAUAUUCGGAGGAACACCAGUGGCGAAGGCGGCUCACUGGUCCAUUACUGACGCUGAGGUGCGAAAGCGUGGGGAGCAAACAGGAUUAGAUACCCGGGUAGUCCCUGUCUCUUAUACA